ACGCUGGCGGCAUGCCUUACACAUGCAAGUCGAACGGCAGCACGGAGCUUGCUCUGGUGGCGAGUGGCGAACGGGUGAGUAAUAUAUCGGAACGUACCCUAGAGUGGGGGAUAACGCAGCGAAAGUUACGCUAAUACCGCAUACGAUCUAAGGAUGAAAGUGGGGGAUCGCAAGACCUCAUGCUCGUGGAGCGGCCGAUAUCUGAUUAGCUAGUUGGUAGGGUAAAAGCCUACCAAGGCAUCGAUCAGUAGCUGGUCUGAGAGGACGACCAGCCACACUGGAACUGAGACACGGUCCAGACUCCUACGGGAGGCAGCAGUGGGGAAUUUUGGACAAUGGGCGAAAGCCUGAUCCAGCAAUGCCGCGUGAGUGAAGAAGGCCUUCGGGUUGUAAAGCUCUUUUGUCAGGGAAGAAACGGUGAAAGCUAAUAUCUUUUGCUAAUGACGGUACCUGAAGAAUAAGCACCGGCUAACUACGUGCCAGCAGCCGCGGUAAUACGUAGGGUGCAAGCGUUAAUCGGAAUUACUGGGCGUAAAGCGUGCGCAGGCGGUUUUGUAAGUCUGAUGUGAAAUCCCCGGGCUCAACCUGGGAAUUGCAUUGGAGACUGCAAGGCUAGAAUCUGGCAGAGGGGGUAGAAUUCCACGUGUAGCAGUGAAAUGCGUAGAUAUGUGGAGGAACACCGAUGGCGAAGGCAGCCCCCUGGGUCAAGAUUGACGCUCAUGCACGAAAGCGUGGGGAGCAAAC
rnacentral:rRNA from 1 species